UGCAGGCAAACAGUUUUGUGAGAAAGACACUUACCACUUGCUAUUUGGAUGGUAAUAUAGUUUAGUGCUUUUUAGAAUCAAUUGGAUUAAGUUGGGGGUGGAAAACUAAUUUCUACGAGGAAAGAAUGUUUGGCCAAGGAAAAUCAGAUGUCAGACCUAUUCAACAAACAAGAAACAACACUUCUUAGCUAAACUAUGUGUUGGGAGUAGGAAGUCAAGUCAAAUACUGCUUUAUAUGCCUUGCAUUAAUUAUCUACCAAGGCUGUGAAGUUGUACUCGUGUUGUUCCUGUAUUGGGACUAGGAGCUUCUUAUUGAUCCUACUAAAAUGGUUGUAGUCUUUUUCAUAUUAUAGAUCUUGUUACAUAAUCAACACUGGCCUGCCAAAUAUUUCAUUUUCCUUGUUAAAUGGUUUAACCUUUUCCCAUUUGUUGUUUCUUGUGUUGUUCCCGUCUUGGGUCCAGGAACGUCUUAUUGACCCUACUAAAAUGGUAGUAAUCUUUUUUCGUAUUAUAGAUCCUGUUGCAUAAUCACCAUUGGUCUGACAAAUAUUCCAUUUUCCUUGUUAAAUGGUUUAACCUUUUCCCAUUUGUUGUUUCUUGUGCUGUUCCUUUCUUGGGACUAGGAGCUUCUUAUUGACCCUACUACAAUGGUAGUAAUAUUUUUCGUAUUAUAGAUCCUAAUGCAUAAUGUCCCUAGGUCUGUCAAAUAUUUCAUUUUCCUUGUUAAAUGGUUUAUCCUUUUCCCAUUUGUUGUUUCGUAUGCUGUUUGGGAUUGGGACUUAGGUGCUUCUUAUUAACCCUUACUAAAAUGAUGGUUAUCUUUUUCAUAUUAUAGAUCGUAUCGCAUAAUCACCAUUUGUCUGCCAAAUAUUUUGAGACCAAACAUGUUUGGCAAUUGCACUGUUCAAGUUGUUUUGUGCAAUGCUGUUUGAUGGGGGAGUCAAGUCAAAUACUGGUUUAUAUGCCUUGCAGCAAUCAUUUAUUACAAACAUAAACUCGAGAAGAUGACAGGCAGGGACAAGGACUACAUAUAUAUGGCAACUUCUGAUUUGCUAAAUGAGCAAAGAGGGGUUUAAACUAAAUGUUUCUGGAUUGGCAGUGAAAUGGUUUGACCUUUUCUCAUUUGCUCAUAAGUAUCCACUGAGUCAGUUGUAGAGAAGACAACUCAGUUCCAUAUUUGAUUUGCCAACCCAAUUGGCUGAACUUGAGUCAGGACAGAACAUGCCUGAAUUUAAUUGGAGUCUGUGUUUGGUGGAGGAACUGGAUCGGGAAAAAGAGGGAUUCAUUAAGCUUUGGUGGAGGAACUAGAUCGAAUGACAGAUUCAUUUGGAAUUAAGUAAAGACUUGCAUAUUACAAUGAACUGCAUUUUAUUCAGAGCUGCAAAGUAGCUUGGCUUGCAUAUUAUUAUGAUGUGUAUAACAAUAUAUAAUAAUUUAUGUAUAUCGUUUAGGAAAAGUAAACAAUGAAUUCGAUCAACUAUCUAUGUUAAGAUCCUGACUCCUCGCCAUAGCGCAAAUAGAAGAAAUCUCACACUGAGGUUGCACAUAUAUCUUGUUUUUGGACAUAUUGUAUCGUGAGACUGUAAAUAGGAGCACUUGUACAUCCCCAAACACAAAGGAUAGUAAGCAAACGAACUGGCGAAUCGGUUAGACAUAACUGGAUCCAAAAACUAUUGCAUCUUCAAGCAUGUCUUCUCGUCUCUCAUCUGCUGGUAUCUAGAAUCUUUCUUUUCUUCACCAUCAUCUCAAGGCGACUUUCAACUGUCCCAAUUCUAAACAAGUUUGCAUAUUUUACCAUUCAACAAGUAAAACAUUAUCGAGAAGAGGAUUGCCCGUCAAAAGUCGGUAGGGGAUCUCAACAACAUCCACAGUUACAGAGGACGAAUCAAAGUAUUGUUAGCUCAUCAUUUGAAGAAAGACAUUGCCUGAAGAAGUCAAAAAAGAGACUUUCUUACAAAUCAUGAUAGGAGGUACCUUUAUAUGUGUAGUUUCCACACACAUUGUCGUAAUAGCUCUUUUAAUGUUGUUAUUGGUAGUUUCAUUUGAACGAGGAAUGUCAUGUGGUUACUAGUGAAGAAAGUAAAGAAGCAGGGGAUCAGGAUCAUAAGAAAAAAAGAGUGCGUUUAUCCUUGCGUCGGUCCGCAAUUCCUCCAAAAAACUGCAAAAACAAAUGGUCCAGUAAACUAGAAGUUCAGAGAUACUUUUGCUGCCUGUAAUGAAUCUUUGUUCAAGAGCCAGAGAGGGAAGAGAUGGGGGAGCCUUUUCUUGUCUA